AUUGAACGCUGGCGGCAUGCCUAACACAUGCAAGUCGAACGGCAGCACAGCCGUAGCAAUACGGUGGGUGGCGAGUGGCGGACGGGUGAGGAAUGCAUCGGAAUCUGCCCGAUCGUGGGGGAUAACGCAUCGAAAGGUGCGCUAAUACCGCAUGAGAUCGAGAGAUGAAAGCGGGGGACCGCAAGGCCUCGCGCGAUCGGAUGAGCCGAUGCCGGAUUAGCUAGUUGGCGGGGUAAAGGCCCACCAAGGCGACGAUCCGUAGCUGGUCUGAGAGGAUGAUCAGCCACACUGGGACUGAGACACGGCCCAGACUCCUACGGGAGGCAGCAGUGGGGAAUAUUGGACAAUGGGCGCAAGCCUGAUCCAGCAAUGCCGCGUGUGUGAAGAAAGCCUUCGGGUUGUAAAGCACUUUUAUCGGGAGCGAAAAGCGGACGGUGAAUACCCGUCCGUGCUGACGGUACCCGAGGAAUAAGCACCGGCUAACUUCGUGCCAGCCGCCGCUGUAAAAC
rnacentral:rRNA from 1 species